UCCGAUGUAGUCUAGUGGUUAUGAUUUGUGGCUCUCACACGCAAGGCCCGGGUUCGAUUCCCGGCAUCGGAA
rnacentral:tRNA from 1 species